AACGUAGGGGGCUAGCGUUAUCCGGAAUCAUUGGGCGUAAAGGGUGCGUAGGCGGUCUUUUAAGCGCGAGGUUUAAGGCUACGGCUUAACCGUAGUUCGCCUUGCGAACUGGAGGACUUGAGUGCUGGAGAGGAAAGCGGAAUUCCUAGUGUAGCGGUGAAAUGCGUAGAUAUUAGGAGGAACACCAGUGGCGAAGGCGGCUUUCUGGACAGUAACUGACGCUGAGGCACGAAAGCGUGGGGAGCAAACAGGAUUAGAUACCCGCGUAGUCCCUGAGCGGGCUGG
rnacentral:rRNA from 1 species